ACCUAUAGCUCAGUUGGUCAGAGCAUACGGCUGUUAACCGUAGGGUCAAGGGUUCGAUCCCCUUUGGA
rnacentral:tRNA from 1 species